AUGUGGACAGUGGAAUUUCUGUUCAGUUUUGUUGACAGUCUAGCUGCACGGCUGGAUUCAAUUGAAUGGGAUACGCAGUGUGAGGCAAUACUUGAUCUUCGAUCUCUAGCGAAGUAUCACAGCGAAACGCUGCAGGAGUUCCUGGGGACUAUAAUUCCUUUAAUCAUUGCAAAAGUCGUGAAAGGCAGGCCAGCUGUAGUAAAAUCUGCUAUCAUGGCAUGUGGUGAUCUGCUUCUGGUUUACCCUUCUGAUAGCAUCAGCACCUUUGUUGAUCAAAUGAUCGAUUCACUUGUUCUCAAGGUUAUUGGUAUGCAUCGGUUUGUCGCACAAGAAGCUAUCCUGGUUCUUACGUCUAUGGCCAGAAGGCUUCAUGUUCCUGAUCACAUUUUGCUGUCCAAAGUCAUACCGUUGCUUCAUGAGAGAAGUCCGUUUGUUUGUGCGAAGGCCUAUCAGUUUCUGGCCCUGUGUUUGCCCGUCAGUGUCCUUGUAAGUGGAUGCAGUGUGUAUUUUGUUGGUACACAUUCAAUAUACUUGAAUUCAUGUGCCUGA
rnacentral:rRNA from 1 species